rnacentral:tRNA from 1 species
UGUAAGAAAGACUAAGGG